UGCUUACAUGCUCACCACAUACUAUGUUCUUAUGCUGACUGUAUAUAGAGAGGAGGCAGAGUAAACUGACCACCUAUACAGCUAAGCCCAAGCCAUUGUGUCUGGUCUGUAUUGUGAAUGAGGAUACAUGG